CUCGUGUGACCGCAAUCAGCGACAAAAGGAGUCCUUGUCUGAACGUAGACUUAUAAACCUCCAACUUGGUAGUGUAUUGAAAAUAUACAAAAUUAAACCUGCAUAUACUUAAAACAAGUUUGAUCACUGUGGAUAUUUUGUUUACGUUUUUGCUCAUCUGCACGAGCCUGACCUAUGGUGCAGCCAGAUGAGAGCUUCGGGUAUAAAAGCGCCACCGCCGCGUGAUGUUUAAAAUGCAUUUCUUGAUGCCAUUGCUGCUACUGUUUUUUGGAAUCCUACUAUGCACCAUUGAGCUGGCUCUUGCUGUGCCUAUCGUUAUAGCAAACCGGGGUCCGUACUAUCCACCAGACUUUGGCACAGCAUACUAUCAGGCCACGCCACCACAUCCGCCCCUUUACCCGACCAAUCCAUACUCGUAUGGUUACUCCUAUGGCUACAGCUUCGGCUCGUUCAGUGUUGCACCGUUUAUAUAUUGAACACAUUUGUUUAAAUAAUAUGCAUUAAAGCGAA